rnacentral:rRNA from 1 species
GACGAACGCUGGCGGCGUGCUUAACACAUGCAAGUCGAACGGGCCUGCCUUCUUUUUUGGGGGGUGGGUUGAGUGGCGAACGGGUGAGUAUCACGUGAGUAACCUGCCCUUCGGUCCUGGAUAACCGCUUGAAAGGGCGGCUAAUACGGGGUGGUCCGGUUGGUCCGCAUGGGCUGGUCGGGAUAGAUUCACUGUUUUUGGUGUUUCGGCGGGGGAUGGGCUCGCGGCCUAUCAGCUUGUUGGUGGGGUGAUGGCCUACCAAGGCGGUGACGGGUAGCCGGCCUGAGAGGGUGGGCGGCCACACUGGGACUGAGAUACGGCCCAGACUCCUGCGGGAGGCAGCAGUGGGGGGUAUUGCACAAUGGGCGGAAGCCUGAUGCAGCGACGUCGCGUGAGGGAUGGAGGCCUUCGGGUUGUGAACCUCUGUUUCCGGUGGUGAAGGCCCUGUCCGUGUGGUGGGGUUGACGGUAGCCGGGGAUGAAGCGCCGGCUAACUACGU